rnacentral:rRNA from 1 species
UUGGUUAUGCUGAUAAGAGCGUAUGGUGGAUGCCUUGGCACUAAGAGCCGAUGAAAGACGUGAUAAGCUGCGAAAAGCUUCGGGGAGGAGCAAAUAUCCUUUGAUCCGGAGAUUUCUGAAUGGGGAAACCUACUUGAGCAAACCUCAAGUAUCCUUAAGCCAAUACAUAACUUAAGGAAGGGAACCCGGUGAACUGAAACAUCUAAGUAGCCGGAGGAAGAGAAAACAACAUGUGAUUCUGUGAGUAGCGGCGAGCGAAAACGGAAGAGCCCAAACCAGCGUGCGUGCAUGCUGGGGUUCGGACCGCGGAAUUGAUUCAACAAGUUUAGCAGAACGGUUUUGGGAAAGCCGGCCAGAGAGGGUGAAAGCCCCGUAAGCGAAAGACGAGUUGACAUGGCGGGAUCCAGAGUACCACGAGACACGUGGAACCUUGUGGGAAGAUGCGGGGACCACCCCGUAAGGCUAAAUACUACUUAGUGACCGAUAGCGCAUAGUACUGUGAAGGAAAGGUGAAAAGGACCCCGGGAGGGGAGUGAAAAAGAACCUGAAACCAUAUGUUUACAAGCUGUGGAAGAGCUUUAUAUGCUCAACCGCGUACUUUUUGUAGAACGGUCCGGCGAGUUACGCUGGCUGGCGAGGUUAAGGACUAAAGGUCCGGAGCCGAAGGGAAACCAAGUCUGAAUAGGGCGCAUAGUCAGUCGGAGUAGACCCGAAACCGGGUGAUCUAUCCAUGUCCAGGUUGAAGUUGCCGUAAAAGGCAAUGGAGGACCGAACCCACAUCCGUUGAAAAGGGUGGGGAUGAGGUGUGGAUAGGGGAGAAAUUCCAAUCGAACCCGGAGAUAGCUGGUUCUCCUCGAAAUAGCUUUAGGGCUAGCCUCAUACGAGUCUUGCGGAGGUAGAGCACUGAAUUCCUAAGGGGGCGUCAAAGCUUACUAAGGGAUAUCAAACUCCGAAUGCCGUGUAGAUGAUGUAUGGGAGUCAGACGAUCCGAGAUAAGUUGGGUGGUCAAAAGGGAAAGAGCCCAGACCAACAGCUAAGGCCCCAAAAUGUGUGUUAAGUGGAAAAGGAUGUGGGAUUUCGAAGACAACUAGGAUGUUGGCUCAGAAGCAGCCAUUCAUUCAAAGAGUGCGUAAUAGCUCACUAGUCGAGAGGUCCUGCGCCGAAAAUGUCCGGGGCUAAAACACACUGCCGAAGCUUUGGAAUUGAAUUAAUUCAAUUGGUAGAGGAGCAUUCUUAAAGGGACGAAGCAGUACCGUAAGGAGCUGUGGACUUUUAAGAAGAGAGAAUGCCGGAAUGAGUAGCGAGAGGAAGGUGGGAAUCCUUCCGGCCGAAUAUCUAAGGUUUCCAGAGUAAAGCUGAUCUGCUCUGGGUAAGUCGGGGCCUAAGGCGAGGUCGAAAGACGUAGUCGAUGGAUAACAGGUUGAAAUUCCUGUACUAUCCUGUAACAGAACUGUGGGGACACAGGCAGAGAGCGUGAGCCGGGAAUGGAAAGACCGGUACAAGCGAGGUAGGAGUCUGGUUGGCAAAUCCGCCAGGCAAUCCGAAGACGUGAUGUGGACUGAAAAUAAGUAGGGAAGCACGUGAGCUGACUGUCAAGAAAA